UGUUAGUGGCAGACGGGUGAGUAAUGCGUAGGAAUCUACCUAGUAGUAUGGAAUAGCCAUUAGAAAUGAUGGGUAAUACUGUAUAAUCCCUGCGGGGGAAAGAUUUAUCGCUAUUAGAUGAGCCUACGUUAGAUUAGCUAGUUGGUAAGGUAAUGGCUUACCAAGGCUAUGAUCUAUAGCUGGUCUGAGAGGACGAUCAGCCACACUGGAACUGAGAUACGGUCCAGACUCCUACGGGAGGCAGCAGUGGGGAAUAUUGGACAAUGGGCGAAAGCCUGAUCCAGCUAUGCCGCGUGAGUGAAGAAGGCCUUCGGGUUGUAAAACUCUUUCAAUAGGGAAGAUAAUGACGGUACCUAUAA
rnacentral:rRNA from 1 species